rnacentral:snoRNA from 1 species
AAACCAUGGUGAGGACAUCUUCUCAUCAAAUCCUUAUACCUUUCCCAAGCCUCAUAUGGUGAUUCAGAAUCAAAUUGCGUGAAAGAAGUAAUAUCAUUCCGCAUUUU